UACGAAGGGUGCAAGCGUUAAUCGGAAUUACUGGGCGUAAAGCGCGCGUAGGUGGUUCGUUAAGUUGGAUGUGAAAGCCCCGGGCUCAACCUGGGAACUGCAUCCAAAACUGGCGAGCUAGAGUACGGUAGAGGGUGGUGGAAUUUCCUGUGUAGCGGUGAAAUGCGUAGAUAUAGGAAGGAACACCAGUGGCGAAGGCGACCACCUGGACUGAUACUGACACUGAGGUGCGAAAGCGUGGGGAGCAAAUAGG
rnacentral:rRNA from 1 species